AACCCGGUUACUAUUCUAGGACAGGUUGACACCAACCAAACUUCAGUGGGGAGGGUACUUACCUAUGGCACUCAUGCAAGCCUUAAAACUUAGGAAUGAUGGUUGUGUGACUUGCUUGUGCUUGUUAUUUAUUUAACCUCAUAACAUCAUAACAUCUUAACAUCCUAACAUCAUGACAUCAUAACAUUGAACUAACCAUUUCGAGGACUUAGGGAUUUAACUUUGCUCUAUUUUGUAAAAAAGAAAAAAAAAAAAAA
rnacentral:lncRNA from 1 species